GAAUAUUGGACAAUGGGGGGAACCCUGAUCCAGCCAUGCCGCGUGUGUGAAGAAGGCCUUUUGGUUGUAAAGCACUUUAAGCGAGGAGGAGGAGCUCUUGGUUAAUACCCAAGAUGCUUGGACGUUACUCGCAGAAUAAGCACCGGCUAACUCUGUGCCAGCAGCCGCGGUAAUACAGAGGGUGCAAGCGUUAAUCGGAUUUACUGGGCGUAAAGCGCGCGUAGGUGGCCAAUUAAGUCAAAUGUGAAAUCCCCGAGCUUAACUUGGGAAUUGCAUUCGAUACUGGUUGGCUAGAGUAUGGGAGAGGAUGGUAGAAUUCCAGGUGUAGCGGUGAAAUGCGUAGAGAUCUGGAGGAAUACCGAUGGCGAAGGCAGCCAUCUGGCCUAAUACUGACACUGAGGUGCGAAAGCAUGGGGAGCAAACAGGAU
rnacentral:rRNA from 1 species